AAUGACAUCUCCUUAAUCGGAGAGUUCCCUUCGGGGACAUUGGUGACAGGUGGUGCAUGGUUGUCGUCAGCUCGUGUCGUGAGAUGUUGGGUUAAGUCCCGCAACGAGCGCAACCCUUGUCUUUAGUUGCCAUCAUUAAGUUGGGCACUCUAGAGAGACUGCCAGGGAUAACCUGGAGGAAGGUGGGGAUGACGUCAAAUCAUCAUGCCCCUUAUGCUUAGGGCUACACACGUGCUACAAUGGGUAGUACAGAGGGUUGCCAAGCCGUAAGGUGGAGCUAAUCCCUUAAAGCUACUCUCAGUUCGGAUUGUAGGCUGAAACUCGCCUACAUGAAGCUGGAGUUACUAGUAAUCGCAGAUCAGAAUGCUGCGGUGAAUGCGUUCCCGGGUCUUGUACACACCGCCCGUCACACCACGGGAGUUGGAGACGCCCGAAGCCGAUUAUCUAACCUUUUGGAAGAAGUCGUCGAAGGUGGAAUCAAUAACUGGGGUGAAGUCGUAACAAGGUAGCCGUAUCGGAAGGUGCGGCUGGAUCACCUCCUUU
rnacentral:rRNA from 1 species